UGGUAUGGAUAGAGUAUUGGUGGCCAGUAGGCACCAGGCCCCUGUCCCAACCGUGAGAUGAGAGACAAUCUUGGUACCCAUAGGGUUCCAUGAAUGGCCCCCCAUGUGUGUCAGGCAACAGAGAGCAAGAGAGGAAGAUCCCAACCUGGAUACUGAGGAGUCCUGGGCUUCAGGACAUAAAGGUUGAGACAGCCCUGAGGGUGUGAGCAACCAGUAUGACUCCACAGCCCAGAAUGAAGAGGGAACUGGUACCAAUGGUGGAAACAGUACUGCCGGCACUCUGUAUGCCUCUGUCAUUUCUGGUGCCAGAAGCGGUGUUGACCCCAAGUGGUACCUAGGUGACUGAUGGUGCCAAAAUGGAGGGAGGUGAGUGCCACCAUGGUAACAAUGGCAGCGCCGAUAGCGUGGGUGUCAAAGAAGUUCCUGGUGCCAAGUAGGUCCCUUAUGCUGAGCCUACCACUGGCCCCACUUCCACUGUCUGUGGAAGGGAAACAUUGGGGUGUGGUGCUGACAGACCCAGAGGUUCAACCAGCUGGCUAUAAAUUAUAUAAAUGAUGCAGCCCUGGCAAAGUCCAGGACCAAGGCAGAGGUCGGGUCAGAAAGGCUGAGGAAGAACCAAACAGGGUGUCUGCUAUGCCGCCUGAGUGGAAACAGCUGGUGAGGACAUCACCCUCAUCAGUACCAGAGUCAAUGGACACCCUUGGCCUGGAACCAGAGUUGAUGGUAUGGGAUUUCUGACAUUCAAUCACAGUAUCAGGGAGUGGAUGACAAGACGUGCUCCAUCCUGUGCUUUGGUGUUCACACCGUGCCAGUCCAUGCUCCUCUGGAGGAGACAGAUGGGUCCCCACAUGAACUGGAGCAGCCUCCAUCAGUCUUAUGUGACCUUUUCCUCAGCGCACUUGAUGGGGAAUGGCUCCUCCAUCUCUUUGGAGAGGUGCAAGCUCCAGAGCGGGAAACGGCAGCACUCUCAGAACCCAAGGGUGACCUUCGAUCCAAUGUAGACGUCGGUGCCAAAGCAGGCUUCAUGGACUGCUGGAGCAGGUGCGGCUUUAGACCAAGAUCCCUCGCCACAUGAGUCCAUUUUGUGAACAAUCUGCCAACGGAACACCGUUCCUUGAUGUGGGCUUUGCCUAAGCACAGCAAGCACGGUGCGUGGGGAUCGCUGUUGGAGAUCGCUGCCCCACACGAUCGACAAUGUUUAAACCCCAGUGAGGGUAUCACCAGGGAAAUACUUGAACUAAACUUAACCAACUAACACUAUAUAAGGGUACAAAUUAAUUAGAUACAACUAGAAGAAGUCACUAAGACAGAGAGCGGUUGUAAGGUUAGGAACCACACAGAGCUCAGACUCCAGCCAUGGGCAUUAAGAAGAAACUGAGGGGGUAGAGGUGGUACUGUCUCAGAUAGCCAUGGCAGGGGCUAUGAGCACAAGGCACAAGGGUCGCCUCCUAUGGGUACUACUAGGCAAAAUUUCCCAGCUCUGAUAUACGGGGCGUGCACACACCUAAGUGGAAUACACAGCUGCAUCUGCUUGAAGAAGAAUCAGCAAGCUCUACAAAAAACAUUGAAGAUUCUUGGAAACACCGGAGGAACAAAGACUGAACUGGGGGAAGUGCUGGACCCAGGCUAAAGGGAUUUCUAGCCCAUGUGUGAAAGACCUGGGGACUCUAAGCUGUAAAGCCAGUGCAGCUUGUCCCUUAAGAAUCUGCAGCCUGCUUGUAUCAUCAGCCAGGAUCAUGUGGUUUUGUGAGGAG